rnacentral:rRNA from 1 species
GACGAACGCUGGCGGCGUGCCUAACACAUGCAAGUUGAGCGACGAACCGGGCUUGCCCGGGGCAAAGCAGCGAACGGGUGAGUAACACGUGAGUAACCUACCCCGAUGACUGGGACAACCCGAGGAAACUCGGGCUAAUACCGGAUGUGGCGUACACACACAAGUGUGUCCGUCAAAGGAAGCUUCGGCCUCCGCAUCGGGUUGGGCUCGCGGCCCAUUAGCUUGUUGGUGAGGUAAAGGCUCACCAAGGCUCCGAUGGGUAGCUGGUCUGAGAGGACGCUCCGCGACACUGGGACUGAGACACGGCCCAGACUCCUACGGGAGGCAGCAGUGGGGAAUCCUGCGCAAUGCGCGAAAGCGUGACGCAGCAACGCCGCGUGAGGGAAGACGGCCUUCGGGUUGUAAAGCUCUGUGGGGCGAGACGAAUAAGUGCAGCCUAAUACGUUGCGCGAUGACGGUAUCGCCUUAGCAAGCACCGGCUAACUCUGUGCCAGCCGCCGCCGUAAUAC